AACCUGGAUAAGAAGAAUUAAUAGAAAUAAUUCAAAACUAGUGAAACUAUUCCUCUUCUAAGAAAAUUUGAUUUUUUUGGAAAUGCAAUUUCUUGGUCCUUAUAAAAAGUUGAAUAAUCCAUUUUGGAAAGAAGUAUUUGAUGCUUGGCAAGAUUUUCAAAAUGUACAAAAUAACUCUCAGAUUAACACAUGCCCUUUAUGGAAGAAUGAUGGAAUAAAGAUUGGUAACCAUUCA
rnacentral:lncRNA from 1 species